CACCAGCAUUGGCAGCCAGCCUAUUGCCAAAAACAAUAUCGCAGCCGUCAGGGUCAGAAUGUGAACUAAAAUCGUCCUCGUCGGAUCCAAAUCACUGAAGAAACUCAUUGUUGAACUGCCCAUAAUUCCCUGAACAACAAACACUAAAAUGGAUUAAAUGUCACCAUAUGCCACUAUGGCAAAAUGAUUUAUAAACCAUAAAUUGACACAACUGCAAACCAAAAGCACGAACCAAAUUAGCACUACCUGGUGAACCAAAAGUUCAAAGGUCCAUUGACCAUAAACCUAAAACUGUUGAUAGCAACAUCAAUAAAACAAAACCAUGGAAAAAAAAACUCACUAGUAUAGUUUACACAUUUAACACAGCCCAGGCUACAGCCAUAUUCUAGUGAUAAUAAAACCAAGUCAUCGUGGUUGAGUGAGCUUGCAUACUUUGCAGAACAUAUAGCUAAGGGCUAAGGCAGAUGUGACAAAUUUGAGGUACAUAACAUGGACAUACACCUACUACUAUGACAGCACAAAUGUUCAUAUAGGUAACUAGUUUACAAGUAUUUAUCCGAGAAAGUAGGCGAAAGUAAAAGAAUAGCCAAGAAAUUUCUUACAGGUAACUGCAAAACAAAUGAUCCUAUUACUAUGAAAAAUCACACAUAAGGCUGAGGUGGAUAUUCAAACCAAUUCUGGAAGGAACAGCGAGGUUGAACAGCACGCAUCGAAAGGAAAAAGGCAAAAAAAACA
rnacentral:lncRNA from 1 species